AACACAUGCAAGUCGAACGGAACUGUUUUGAAAGAUUUCUUCGGAAUGAAUUUGAUUUAGUUUAGUGGCGGACGGGUGAGUAACGCGUGAGUAACCUGCCUUCAAGAGGGGGAUAACAUUCUGAAAAGAAUGCUAAUACCGCAUGACAUAUCGGAACCACAUGGUUCUGAUAUCAAAGAUUUUAUCGCUUGAAGAUGGACUCGCGUCCGAUUAGUUAGUUGGUGAGGUAACGGCUCACCAAGACCGCGAUCGGUAGCCGGACUGAGAGGUUGAACGGCCACAUUGGGACUGAGACACGGCCCAGACUCCUACGGGAGGCAGCAGUGGGGGAUAUUGCGCAAUGGGGGCAACCCUGACGCAGCAACGCCGCGUGAAGGAUGAAGGUUUUCGGAUUGUAAACUUCUUUUAUUAAGGACGAAAAAUGACGGUACUUAAUGAAUAAGCUCCGGCUAACUACGUGCCAGCAGCCGCGGUAAUACGUAGGGAGCAAGCGUUGUCCGGAUUUACUGGGUGUAAAGGGUGCGUAGGCGGCUUUGCAAGUCAGAUGUGAAAUCUAUGGGCUCAACCCAUAAACUGCAUUUGAAACUGUAGAGCUUGAGUGAAGUAGAGGCAGGCGGAAUUCCCCGUGUAGCGGUGAAAUGCGUAGAGAUGGGGAGGAACACCAGUGGCGAAGGCGGCCUGCUGGGCUUUAACUGACGCUGAGGCACGAAAGCGUGGGUAGCAAACAGGAUUAGAUACCCUGGUAGUCCACGCUGUAAACGAUGAUUACUAGGUGUGGGGGGUCUGACCCCUUCCGUGCCGGAGUUAACACAAUAAGUAAUCCACCUGGGGAGUACGGCCGCAAG
rnacentral:rRNA from 1 species